AGUGAACGCUGGCGGUAGGCCUAACACAUGCAAGUCGAACGGCAGCACAGUAAGAGCUUGCUCUUACGGGUGGCGAGUGGCGGACGGGUGAGGAAUACAUCGGAAUCUACUUUUUCGUGGGGGAUAACGUAGGGAAACUUACGCUAAUACCGCAUACGACCUACGGGUGAAAGCAGGGGAUCUUCAGACCUUGCGCGAUUGAAUGAGCCGAUGUCGGAUUAGCUAGUUGGCGGGGUAAAGGCCCACCAAGGCGACGAUCCGUAGCUGGUCUGAGAGGAUGAUCCGCCACACUGGAACUGAGACACGGUCCAGACUCCUACGGGAGGCAGCAGUGGGGAAUAUUUGACAAUGGGCGCAAGCCUGAUCCAGCCAUACCGCGUGGGUGAAGAAGGCCUUCGGGUUGUAAAGCCCUUUUGUUGGGAAAGAAAAGCAGCAGGUUAAUACCCCGCUGUUCUGACGGUACCCAAAGAAUAAGCACCGGCUAACUUCGUG
rnacentral:rRNA from 1 species